rnacentral:rRNA from 1 species
AUUGAACGCUGGCGGCAUGCCUUACACAUGCAAGUCGAACGGCAGCGGGGGAGAAGCUUGCUUUUCCUGCCGGCGAGUGGCGAACGGGUGAGUAAUACAUCGGAACGUGCCCUGUAGUGGGGGAUAACUAGUCGAAAGAUUAGCUAAUACCGCAUACGACCUGAGGGUGAAAGUGGGGGACCGCAAGGCCUCAUGCUAUAGGAGCGGCCGAUGUCUGUUUAGCUAGUUGGUGGGGUAAAGGCCUACCAAGGCGACGAUCAGUAGCUGGUCUGAGAGGACGAUCAGCCACACUGGGACUGAGACACGGCCCAGACUCCUACGGGAGGCAGCAGUGGGGAAUUUUGGACAAUGGGCGAAAGCCUGAUCCAGCAGUGCCGCGUGUGUGAAGAAGGCCUUCGGGUUGUAAAGCACUUUUGUCCGGAAAGAAAUGGCUCUAGUUAAUACCUGGGGUCGAUGACGGUACCGGAAGAAUAAGGACCGGCUAACUACGUGCCAGCCGCCGCCGUAA